GUUAACAAAAAAAAGUGCUCAAAUUUGAGUAGUUUAAAGAAAAACAUUACACUUUCAUCGUAAAAUUAAAUAUUUUUCAA
rnacentral:tRNA from 1 species